CGCAAGCCUGACGGAGCAAUACCGCGUGCGGGAGGACGGCCUUUGGGUUGUAAACCGCUUUUCUCAGGGAAGAAGUUCUGACGGUACCUGAGGAAUCAGCAUCGGCUAACUCCGUGCCAGCAGCCGCGGUAAUACGGGGGAUGCAAGCGUUAUCCGGAAUUAUUGGGCGUAAAGCGUCCGCAGGUGGUUUGUCAAGUCUGCUGUUAAAGCGUGGAGCUUAACUCCAUAUCGGCGGUGGAAACUGAUGAACUAGAGGGUGGUAGGGGUCACGGGAAUUCCCAGUGUAGCGGUGAAAUGCGUAGAUAUUGGGAAGAACACCAGCGGCGAAAGCGCGUGACUGGGCCAUUACUGACACUCAUGGACGAAAGCUAGGGGAGCG
rnacentral:rRNA from 1 species